AAAUUAUUGGAGUUAUGGAUCAUUUGCUUGAAUCAUUGAAACGUUGGUUUGAAGUUAACGAAUUAACAAUAAACAUAAGGAUAAGUUCUGGUAGGAAGGCCGAGAAUGAAGAGGGUUGGGGCCAAAUGUAUACUGAGAAACCGGCUCUUCUCAAAACUAAUAUCUCCACACAAAUGAUAUAUCAGAAAUUUCCAAGCAGUGCCAGGUAUAUUGGCUAGUUUAAUAUAUGUAUGCUUAUUGUUUUAAUAAAUGUUUCCUAAAAAUUUUGUUUCAAUCAAAUUAAAAAUAAAAAGGACAUUUAAUGUAUUAACAUGUUGUUAGAAUUCUUUCUCAGAAAAAUGGUUUUUGUAUAAAAAGAAACUGAUAUUCCAUCAAAAACGUC
rnacentral:lncRNA from 1 species